rnacentral:rRNA from 1 species
UACGGAGGGUGCAAGCGUUAUCCGGAUUCACUGGGUUUAAAGGGUGCGUAGGUGGGCUUGUAAGUCAGUGGUGAAAUCUCCGGGCUUAACUCGGAAACUGCCAUUGAUACUAUAAGUCUUGAAUACCAUGGAGGUGAGCGGAAUAUGUCAUGUAGCGGUGAAAUGCUUAGAUAUGACAUAGAACACCAAUUGCGAAGGCAGCUCGCUACGCGGUUUUUGACACUGAGGCACGAAAGCGUGGGGAGCAAACAGG